rnacentral:rRNA from 1 species
ACGGCUCAGUAACACGUGGAUAACCUGCCCUAUGCUCUGGGAUAACCUCGGGAAACUGAGAAGAAUACCGGAUAGAUCACAACGCCUGGAACGGUGUGUGGUUGAAAGGUUACGGCAUAGGAUGGGUCUGCGGCGUAUCAGGUCGUAGGGGGUGUAAUGGACCCCCUAGCCAUCGACGCGUACGGGUGUUGGGAGACAUAGCCCGGAGACGGAUUCUGAGACACGAAUCCGGACCCUACGGGGUGCAGCAGGCGCGAAAACUUCACACUGCAGGAAACUGUGAUGAGGGAACUCCAAGUGGAUGCACAUAGUGUAUCUCUUUUCUUUACUAUUAAUCGGUAUUGGAAUAAGGGCUGGGAAAGACCGGUGCCAGCCGCCGCGGUAAUACCGGCAGCUCGAGUGGUCGUCGCUUUUAUUGGGCCUAAAACGUCCGUAGCCGGUUUGGUAAAUCUGUGGGUAAAUCAACUAGCUUAACUAGUUGAAUUCUGCAGAGACUGCCAGACUAGGAACCGGGAGAGGUGUGGGGUACUCAAGGGGUAGGGGUAAAAUCCUGUCAUCCUUUGAGGACCACCAGUUGCGAAGGCGCCACACUGGAACGGAUUCGACGGUCAGGGACGAAGCCUAGGGGCACGAACCGGAUUAGAUACCCGGGUAGUCCUAGGUGUAAACGCUGUGAACUUGGUGUCGGGAGUCCGCAAUGGGCCCCCGGUGCCGGAGUGAAGAUGUUAAGUUCACUGCCUGGGGAGUACGGUCGCAAGGCUGAAACUUAAAGGAAUUGGCGGGGGAGCAC